rnacentral:rRNA from 1 species
AUUGAACGCUGGCGGCAUGCCUAACACAUGCAAGUCGAACGGUUUAUGGAGCUUGCUUCAUAGAUAGUGGCGGACGGGUGAGUAAUAUGUAGGAAUCUGCCUUGGGGAGGGGGAUAACUUGGGGAAACUCAAGCUAAUACCGCGUAAGUCGGAGACGAGAAAGCAGGGGACCGAAAGGCCUUGCGCCUUAAGAUGAGCCUACAUCGGAUUAGCUAGUUGGGGGGGUGAAGGCCUACCAAGGCGAUGAUCCGUAGCUGGUCUGAGAGGAUGACCAGCCACACUGGGACGGAGACACGGCCCAGAGUCCUACGGGAGGCAGCAGUGGGGAAUAUUGGACAAUGGGGGAAACCCUGAUCCAGCAAUGCCGCGUGUGUGAAGAAGGCCUUCGGGUUGUAAAGCACUUUCAGUGGGGAAGAAGGAUGUAUGGUUAAUACCCAUGCAUUUUGACGUUACCCAUAGAAGAAGCACCGGCUAACUCUGUGCCAGCCGCCGCGGUAA